UACGUAGGGGGCUAGCGUUGUCCGGAUUUAUUGGGCGUAAAGAGCGUGUAGGCGGCCAGGUAGGUCUGGUGUGAAAACUCGAGGCUUAACCUCGAGAUGUCAUCGGAAACCAUUUGGCUAGAGUCCGGAAGAGGAGAGUGGAAUUCCCGGUGUAGCGGUGAAAUGCGCAGAUAUCGGGAAGAACACCCGUGGCUAAGGCGGCUCUCUAGUACGGUACUGACGCUGAGACGCGAAAGCGUGGGGAGCGAACAGG
rnacentral:rRNA from 1 species